GAACUCGUGCAGGUCACAACUCCUGGAAGCGGGGCGGCGGAGGUGGGAGGCCCUACGAACGCACGUCAUCCUCCUCCCGACUCCCAGGAACAAGUGACGCCGGCGAGGACGCUCCGCUCGUGCGGAUUGGCUGUGUCACAAGCCUCCUCGAGCGGCCCAAGUGCGGCUUGCUGUGUCGAAGCCCCUCUCCACCUCGCUCAGGACUGGUGGGUGUGCCUGUUUACCGACAAGGAACAGAGGCCAACCUACAGAAAUAACCAAGAAUGCAGUGGAAGAGGAAAAUAAAUAAUAUUGAUGUGAAUGUAGUGGAUACUGCUGGAAGAUUGCAGAAUAUACACAUUGGACGCCAGAAAUCAACAAAAAGAGUGAGAUUAUGAAAUACCUUCAGAUAAAGUGGUCAAAUGUGAUUGUCUAUUUGCAUUACGCCGAGGAUUGGUAUCUCCAGG